CGGCUGCCUUGAGGACGCCGAGCAGCAGGUCCUGGCGCGCCGCGGGCAGCUCGAGGGACUGCGUCCAGCCGCGCAGAUUUAUUUAUUUGAGAGCGCACGGGCGCGCGCAAGGGGAGCAAGAGGCAGAGGGAGAGACACUCUCAAGCAGAUUCCCGCGCUGAGCCGGGAGCCCCACGCGCAUCCGCUCACGACCUCAGCAGAAAUCAAGAGUCGGUGCCCCAGACUCUGCACCUUUGGGGUUGAAAAGCUUUGGUACCCCUCCUCCCUCCCCUUCAUUGGCUUGGUGCCCACUCGGCUCACGUU